rnacentral:rRNA from 1 species
CACGUAGGGCGCAAGCGUUGUCCGGAAUUAUUGGGCGUAAAGAGCUCGUAGGCGGUCUGUUGCGUCCGCUGUGAAAACUCGGGGCUUAACCCCGAGCCUGCAGUGGAUACGGGCAGACUAGAGGUAGGUAGGGGAGAAUGGAAUUCCCGGUGUAGCGGUGAAAUGCGCAGAUAUCGGGAGGAACACCGGUGGCGAAGGCGGUUCUCUGGGCCUUACCUGACGCUGAGGAGCGAAAUCGUGGGGAGCGAACAGG